rnacentral:rRNA from 1 species
UACGGAGGAUCCGAGCGUUAUCCGGAUUUAUUGGGUUUAAAGGGUGCGCAGGCGGGAGAUUAAGUCGGCGGUGAAAUUUUGCAGCUCAACUGUAAAAGUGCCUUCGAAACUGGUUUCCUUGAGUGUAGAUGAAGUAGGCGGAAUUUGUGGUGUAGCGGUGAAGUGCGUAGAUAUCACGAGGAACUCCGAUUGCGCAGGCAGCUUACUAAACUACUACUGACGCUCAUGCACGAAGGCGUGGGGAUCAAACAGGAUUAGAUACCCGGGUAGUUCCU